UACGAGAGGCCCAAACGUUAUUCGGAUUUACUGGGCUUAAAGAGUUCGUAGGCGGCUUGGAAAGUGGGGUGUGAAAGCCCUCGGCUUAACCGAGGAAUUGCGCUCCAAACUACCGAGCUUGAGGAGGCUAGAGGUGAGCAGAACUGAUGGUGGAGCGGUGAAAUGCGUUGAUAUCAUCAGGAAUACCGGAGGCGAAGGCGGCUCACUGGGACCUUUCUGACGCUGAGGAACGAAAGCUAGGGGAGCAAACGGG
rnacentral:rRNA from 2 species